AUUGAAUUGGCAGAAAAUAAGUGCGUUAAAUUUAGAAUUUAAUAAUACAAUAAAUAUUGUAUUCAAUA
rnacentral:tRNA from 1 species